rnacentral:tRNA from 1 species
UUUUCAGAAGCGUUGCAUUCGCCCUAAGUUUCGGCCUUAGUCCAGGACUAAUUCAUGUCCCUGAAAUG